rnacentral:rRNA from 2 species
CUAAGAAUAUUCCGCAAUGGACGAAAGUCUGACGGAGCGACGCCGCGUGGAUGAUGAAGGCCGUGAGGUUGUAAAAUCCUUUUGUCGGGGAAGAAUAAGCCUGGGAGGGAAUGCCCGGGUGAUGACAUGAACCGGCGAAUAAGCCCCGGCUAACUACGUGCCAGCAGCCGCGGUAACACGUAGGGGGCAAGCGUUGUUCGGAAUUACUGGGCGUAAAGGGCAUGUAGGCGGUUUGGUAAGCCUGACGUGAAAGGCUAUGGCUCAACCAUGGCACGGCGUUGGGAACUGCUAGACUUGAGUCACGGAGAGGGAGCUGGAAUUCCAGGUGUAGGGGUGAAAUCUGUAGAUAUCUGGAAGAACACCAGUGGCGAAGGCGAGCUCCUGGCCGAUGACUGACGCUGAGGUGCGAAAGUGUGGGGAUCAAACAGG